UACGUAGGGGGCAAGCGUUGUCCGGAUUUAUUGGGCGUAAAGAGCGUGUAGGCGGCUUGGUAGGUCCGCUGUGAAAACUCGAGGCUCAACCUCGAGAUGUCGGCGGAAACCACUUGGCUAGAGUCCGGAAGAGGAGAGUGGAAUUCCCGGUGUAGCGGUGAAAUGCGCAGAUAUCAGGAGGAACACCGAUGGCGAAGGCAGCUCGCUGGGACGGUACUGACGCUGAGACGCGAAAAGCGUGGGGGAGCAAACAGG
rnacentral:rRNA from 1 species